rnacentral:lncRNA from 1 species
UCCGGACGAAAAAGUAGUUAUAACGAAAAAAUACAAUACUAAAAUGUGUUCAUCAAAAUAGAAUAAGAAUUUUGACAGCUACUGAACAAUAAAGAAAUAUUUUAAAGGCAUACAUUUUGAGAAGAAAAAUAUUCGCCUACGAUAAAAAAAAAAUCCUUUACUGUAACGUAGUAUAUACAGAAGGACAAAAUACAUUGAAAGAUGGUACACUCCUACA